rnacentral:rRNA from 1 species
UACAGAGGUCCCAAGCGUUGUUCGGAUUCAUUGGGCGUAAAGGGUGCGUAGGUGGCGCCGUAAGUGGGGUGUGAAAUUUCGGAGCUUAACUCCGAAACUGCAUUCGAUACUGCCGUGCUUGAGGACUGGAGAGGAGACUGGAAUUUACGGUGUAGCGGUGAAAUGCGUAGAUAUCGUAAGGAAGACCAGUGGCGAAGGCGGGUCUCUGGACAGUUCCUGACGCUGAGGCACGAAGGCCAGGGGAGCAAACGGG